UACGUAGGGCGCAAGCGCUGUCCGGAAUUAUUGGGCGUAAAGAGCUCGUAGGUGGCUUGUCACGUCGGGUGUGAAAGCUUGGGGCUUAACUCCAGGUCUGCAUUCGAUACGGGCUGGCUAGAGGUAGGUAGGGGAGAACGGAAUUCCUGGUGUAGCGGUGAAAUGCGCAGAUAUCAGGAGGAACACCGGUGGCGAAGGCGGUUUUCUGGGCCUUACCUGACGCUGAGGAGCGAAAGCGUGGGGAGCGAACAGG
rnacentral:rRNA from 1 species